GACGAACGCUGGCGGCGUGCUUAACACAUGCAAGUCGAUCGGUGAAGCACCUUCCUUUUGGUGGGUGUGGAUGAGUGGCGAACGGGUGAGUAACACGUGAGUAACCUGCCCCCUUCUUCUGGAUAACCGCAUGAAAGUGUGGCUAAUACGGGAUAUUCUGGGUCUGUCGCAUGGCGGGCCUGGGAAAGCUAUUGUUUCGGUGGGGGAUGGGCUCGCGGUCUAUCAGCUUGUUGGUGGGGUGAUGGCCUACCAAGGCGGUGACGGGUAGCCGGCCUGGGAGGGUGGACGGUCACACUGGGACGGCGCCACGGCCCAGCCUCCUACGGGAGGCAGCAGUGGGGAAUAUUGCACAAUGGGCGCAAGCCUGAUGCAGCGACGCCGCGUGAGGGAUGGAGGCCUGCGGGUUGUAAACCUCUUUCGCCAGUGAAGCAGGCCUGUCCCUUUUGUGGGUGGGUUGACGGUAGCUGGAUAAGAAGCGCCGGCUAACUACGUG
rnacentral:rRNA from 1 species